rnacentral:rRNA from 1 species
AUACGGAGGGUGUAAGCGUUACUCGGAAUCACUGGGCGUAAAGCGCGCGCAGGCGGUCUUUUAAGUUGGAUGUGAAAGCCUACGGCUCAACCGUAGAACUGCAUCCAAAACUAUUAGACUAGAGUGUGGGAGAGGAAGAUGGAAUUAGUUGUGUAGGGGUAAAAUCCGUAGAGAUAACUAGGAAUACCAAAAGCGAAGGCAAUCUUCUGGAACACUACUGACGCUGAGGCGCGAAAGCGUGGGGAGCAAACAGGAUUAGAAACCCCAGUAGUCC